rnacentral:rRNA from 1 species
AGCGAACGCUGGCGGCAGGCCUAACACAUGCAAGUCGAACGAACUCUUCGGAGUUAGUGGCGGACGGGUGAGUAACACGUGGGAACGUGCCUUUUGGUUCGGAAUAACUCAGGGAAACUUGUGCUAAUACCGAAUGUGCCCUUCGGGGGAAAGAUUUAUCGCCAUUAGAGCGGCCCGCGUCUGAUUAGCUAGUUGGUGAGGUAACGGCUCACCAAGGCGACGAUCAGUAGCUGGUCUGAGAGGAUGACCAGCCACACUGGGACUGAGACACGGCCCAGACUCCUACGGGAGGCAGCAGUGGGGAAUCUUGCGCAAUGGGCGAAAGCCUGACGCAGCCAUGCCGCGUGAAUGAUGAAGGUCUUAGGAUUGUAAAAUUCUUUCACCGGGGACGAUAAUGACGGUACCCGGAGAAGAAGCCCCAGCUAACUUCGUG